GGAGCAUCCACAGCUUCUCUGGGCAACCUGCUCCUGUGCCUCACCACCCUCAGAGUAAAGAAUUUCUUUCUAAUAUCUAAUCUAAACCUACCCUCUUUUAGUUUAAAGCCAUUACCCCUUAUCCUAUCACUACGCUCCCUGACAGAGCCCCUCCACAGCUUUCCUGUAGGGCUCCUUUAGGUACUGUAAGUCUGCUAUAAGUUCUCC